AUUAACGCUGGCGGUGUGCAUAACACAUGCAAGUCGAACGGAUUAUCUGCGAUUACAUCAAGGGUAAUUAGUGGCAAACGGGUGCGUAACACGUUGGUAUCUUCCUGGAAGUUUCGAAUAACCAGCCGUAAGGUUGACUAAUACGAAAUGGUCCCGCAAGGGUAAAGCUUUUGCGCUUCCAGAAGGGCCUGCGGCCUAUCAGCUAGUUGGCGGGGUAACUGCCCACCAAGGCAAUGACGGGUAGCGGUUCUGAGAGGAUGAUCCGCCACACUGGUACUGAGACACGGACCAGACUCCUACGGGAGGCAGCAGUGAGGAAUAUUGCACAAUGGGGGGAACCCUGAUGCAGCAACGCCGCGUGGAGGAUGACGCAUUUCGGUGUGUAAACUCCUUUUAUAUGUCAAGAAAAUGACGGUAGCAUAUGAAUAAGCACCGGCUAACUCCGU
rnacentral:rRNA from 1 species